rnacentral:rRNA from 1 species
UACAGAGGGUGCGAGCGUUGUCCGGAAUCACUGGGCGUAAAGGGCGCGUAGGCGGCUUGAUAAGCGUGCGGUGAAAGCCCGGGGCUCAACCCCGGGUCGGCCGUGCGAACUGUCGAGCUGGAGCACUGUAGAGGCAGGUGGAAUUCCGGGUGUAGCGGUGGAAUGCGUAGAGAUCCGGAAGAACACCGGUGGCGAAGGCGAGUCCCUGGACAACACCUGACACUGAGGCACGAAAGCUAGGGGAGCAAACAGG